rnacentral:rRNA from 1 species
CGGCGACGCCGGCGGUUCGCCGCCGGUGUUGUUGUGAGAAGUUCAUUAAACCUUAUCAUUUAGAGGAAGGAGAAGUCGUAACAAGGUUUCCGUAGGUGAACCUGCGGAAGGAUCAUUG